ensembl:lncRNA
GUUAAGUUACUUGUUAAGCACAUUUUUACUCUUGAACUUAUUUAGGCUUGCCAUAACAAAGGGGUUGAAUAAUUAUUGACUGAAGACAUUUCAGAUUUUCAUUAAUUUGUCAAAUAAAAUAAACAAACAGAAUUCCAGUUAUGGGGUAUUGUGACAUUAUGGGGUGUUGAGUGUAGGCCAGUGAUGACAAAUCUCAAUUGAAUCCAUUUUAAAUUCAGGCUGUAACACAAAAUGUGGAAAAGGUAAAGGGGUGUGAAGACUUUCUGAAGGCAGUAUUUACAGGAGCUCUCUGCUUAGGCUACCAUGGCAACUACUUCUACUAACUACUACAGGGUACACUUCCUGCUUUGCUCCUCGUUUUGGCCACCAGUCCACCCAUUAUACCUUUGUUGACUUGAAUGGGGACGCCCGUUCUAUUCAUUCUAUUUCUAUGGCAGCAUAUGCAGUUAGGAGCGGAGGAGAGAACAAAAUGUGUAUCUGAAUGAAGCAAUAUGGGACCCAUCAGAGAUUGUUUCCAACCAUAGCGAUGGGAAGUGGUACACCUCAAAUGCUUAGUGGCAGGUGUGCCCUCUAUCCAUCUCUAUGAUUCCAACCUUGUAGUGCAUGAUGAUAGGUUGGUGGGAAGGGGCAGAGGUGGGACAGUAAGUCAGUAAAUCUUAAAGGGUAAAGGCGGGUUUUUGCUCCAGCCAACAGUCACACAAGAUUCUACAAAUUAAACCCAUGACUGAAGACUAGAUGAUCAGUAGAAUCACAUACUGUAUUUUACCGCUGAUACCACUGGAGUUUGAAUCAAAACGACCAACUAGCCAAACAACAGGGUGAGUGGAGUGAAACUAACUCCUCGUUAGAGCACACUGUAGCAAAACGUUUUGUGACGGAUGGCAAAAACAAGCAUUUCCGAUAGCACCUCCCCAAUUCAGUCCUUUUUCUUCUGUUUUGUGCCUAGUGAACACAACCCAAAUGUGGUGCAACAGCCAGCUAGCUGUCCUUCCAGACCUCCAUCCAUCCUUGGUGUCAGAAGAAGACUCUGUGGACUAUCACCAGGUCAUGUCGAGGGUCAUCUCCGACAGACACUUGGCCAGGUGGCUGUCACAGUCCAUCUGAGUGAACCUGGAGAGAUGGAUGGACAGCAUCA